rnacentral:rRNA from 1 species
CUAUACAUGCAAGUCGAGCGGACAGAUGGGAGCUUGCUCCCUGAUGUUAGCGGCGGACGGGUGAGUAACACGUGGGUAACCUGCCUGUAAGACUGGGAUAACUCCGGGAAACCGGGGCUAAUACCGGAUGNUUGUUUGAACCGCAUGGUUCAGACAUAAAAGGUGGCUUCGGCUACCACUUACAGAUGGACCCGCGGCGCAUUAGCUAGUUGGUGAGGUAACGGCUCACCAAGGCGACGAUGCGUAGCCGACCUGAGAGGGUGAUCGGCCACACUGGGACUGAGACACGGCCCAGACUCCUACGGGAGGCAGCAGUAGGGAAUCUUCCGCAAUGGACGAAAGUCUGACGGAGCAACGCCGCGUGAGUGAUGAAGGUUUUCGGAUCGUAAAGCUCUGUUGUUAGGGAAGAACAAGUGCCGUUCAAAUAGGGCGGCACCUUGACGGUACCUAACCAGAAAGCCACGGCUAACUACGUGCCAGCAGCCGCGGUAAUACGUAGGUGGCAAGCGUUGUCCGGAAUUAUUGGGCGUAAAGGGCUCGCAGGCGGUUUCUUAAGUCUGAUGUGAAAGCCCCCGGCUCAACCGGGGAGGGUCAUUGGAAACUGGGGAACUUGAGUGCAGAAGAGGAGAGUGGAAUUCCACGUGUAGCGGUGAAAUGCGUAGAGAUGUGGAGGAACACCAGUGGCGAAGGCGACUCUCUGGUCUGUAACUGACGCUGAGGAGCGAAAGCGUGGGGAGCGAACAGGAUUAGAUACCCUGGUAGUCCACGCCG